AACGCACAUUGCGCCCCCUGGUAUUCCGGGGGGCAUGCCUGUUCGAGCGUCAUUACAACCCUCAAGCUCUGCUUGGUAUUGGGCGUCGCCGGUCCCCCGGCGUGCCUCAAACCCAUCGGCGGUGGUGCCUUUCUCUAAGCGUGGUAAAUUUUAUUCGCUUCUGAGUUGGGGCUUCACCCGCCGGAUAAACCGGGCAUCGCGCCCAUUUUCUCAGGUUGACCUCGGAUCAGGUAGGGAUACCCGCUGAACUUAA
rnacentral:misc_RNA from 1 species